rnacentral:rRNA from 1 species
UACGUAGGGUGCAAGCGUUAAUCGGAAUUACUGGGCGUAAAGCGUGCGCAGGCGGUUGUGCAAGACAGAUGUGAAAUCCCCGGGCUCAACCUGGGAAUUGCAUUUGUGACUGCACGGCUAGAGUGUGUCAGAGGGGGGUAGAAUUCCACGUGUAGCAGUGAAAUGCGUAGAGAUGCGGAGGAACACCGAUGGCGAAGGCAGCCCCCUGGGCUAGCACUGACGCUCAGGCGCGAAAGCGUGGGGAGCAAACAGG